GCUGAUCCCACCUGGGCUGCUUCCCUAGGACCUGGCACCUUGGUGCAGAACAGUGUCCUUAGCAGGUACUCAGUGUAUUCCUCACGUUCUGGGGGGAGUGUCUUUGCACUCCUGCUGGCCUCUUCCAUCGGGGACCAGGCUCCUGGCUGCUUCACUCCAGAAGGAAGGUCCUUACGGGCACGAAAACCAGGGGAAAGUCUUGUGGUUUUAUUUCAUAGGCCACAAGCAACACGAGAGCAAAUGUGGCUGCCGUCAUGAGCCGUCACCCGAGGAGACAGAGAGGCCAUGGACAGAAACAGGACUUCCCUCUGCUAGCAUCUGGGGACACAUGCAAACUGAGGAAACACCAGAGAAAAAGGGACACGGACACUCAGCCGAGUCUCAGAGGACAUGCUGCCCCAUCACCCCUUUAUGCUGACAAGCUGUCUGGAAAGUGAAAGGGCGGUACUGUGAAAGGGAAUCCCAAGCGGGGGAUCCAGGAGGAAGCAGAGCCCCCUGAAUCCACUCCCAGUGGAAGGGGCAGCGCUCACUCUGCGGACGGUGACAGUGCUUCCCGUGCCCUCUGCAGUCAUGGUCCUAAGGGAGCUCCACCAAGACUCUGCCACCUGCUCUCCUGACGCACACCCAUGGUGGGCACCUCUUGGGCCUCCUCAGGGGCCACGCUGGGCCAGGCUGGCCAGGGAGCUGUGCCCUGAUGUCUCCUGAACCUUCUUCUGUUUCCCAGCCCAGGGACAAUAGCCCACCGGCCAGGGGGAACGUGCAGGGGCACAGGCUGAGUUUUGUGAUUGCUUUACGAUUGCUGGCAGUGGAUGUGACCACGGUCAGGGCUGGGCGCCCAAGCUGUGCGAUAGAAAGUGGGUGUCCCUUCGAUGUAGUCCCAGGAUGCACAAAACUGUGGGAACGUGACUCUCUCUGCAUCUAGACGGGAGGAAAUUGGCCCUGCAGA